GUGACAUUUUCCUAGAAAAUUCCAUUCCACUGGAUCCACCCUGAAUCUUCCACCCACCUACUGCUCCACCAUUUCCCUGUUUAGAUUGAAUCUUGUCUCCAGGAAAAGAGAGGGCCAGAGGCAACUCAACAUUCUCAAUAUCCUUCCUUAAUCCCAUUAAAGGAUUCUGAAAGGAAAAAUAAAUGAUGCCACUCUAAAUAUAUCUUUAAAAUCUGGGUCCAGUUAAAAAAUCAAAGCUCCUUUCCGCGCUACCUGCCGAGGGCUCCAAACAGCGUUGAUCUGGAUUCCCGUCGUAACUUAAAGGGAAACUUUCACAAUGUCUGGAACCCUUGAUGUCCUGCAAAUAAAGGAGGAGGAUGUCCUUAAGUUCCUGGCAGCAGGAACCCAUUUAGGUGGCACCAACCUUGACUUCCAGAUGGAACAGUAUAUCUAUAAAAGGAAAAGUGAUGGCAUCUACAUCAUAAAUCUGAAGAGGACCUGGGAGAAGCUUCUCCUGGCAGCUCGUGCCAUUGUUGCCAUUGAAAACCCUGCUGAUGUCAGUGUUAUAUCCUUCAGGAAUACUGGCCAGAGGGCCAUGCUGAAGUUUGCUGCUGCCACUGGAGCCACUCCAAUUGCUGGCAGCUUUACUCCUGGAACCUUCACCAACAGAUCCAGGCAGCCUUCCGGGAGCCACGGCUGCUUGUGGUCACUGACCCAAGGGCUGACCACCAGCCUCUCAUGGAGGCGUCUUAUGUCAACCUACCUACCAUUGCUUUGUGUAACACAGAUUCUCCUCUGCGCUAUGUGGACAUUGCCAUCCCAUGCAACAACAAGGGAGCUCAGUCAGUGGGUUUGAUGUGGUGGAUGCUGGCUCGGGAAGUUUUGCUCAUACGUGACACCAUUUCCCGUGAACACCUGUGGGAGGUCAUGCCUGAUCUCUACUUCUACAGAGAUCCUGAAGAGAUUGAAAAAGAAGAGCAGGCUGCUGCUGAAAAGGCUGUGACCAAGGAGGAAUUUCAGGGAGAAUGGAUUGCUCCAGCUCCUGAGUUCGCUGCUACUCAGCCUGAGGUUGCUGACUGGUCUGAAGGCGUGCAGUUGCCCUCUGUGCCUAUCCAGCAGUUCCCUACUGAAGACUGGAGCACCCAGCCUGCCACGGAAGACUAGUCUGCAGCUCCCACUGCUCAGGCCACUGAAUGGGUAGGAGCAACCACUGGAUGGUCUUAAGCUGUUCUUGUGUGGCCUCUUAAACAACAUACAAGAUUCAUGGAAAAUAAACAACGAGUUUCUAAAAAAAAAAAUCAAAGCAAGUAAAAUAAAAAAAUAUUUAAGUGAGAG